UACGUAGGGCGCAAGCGUUGUCCGGAAUUAUUGGGCGUAAAGAGCUCGUAGGCGGCUUGUCACGUCGGGUGUGAAAGCCCGGGGCUUAACCCCCGGGUCUGCAUUCGAUACGGGGCUAGCUAGAGUGUGGUAGGGGGAGAUCGGAAUUCCUGGUGUAGCGGUGAAAUGCGCAGAUAUCAGGAGGAACACCGGUGGCGAAGGCGGAUCUCUGGGCCAUUACUGACGCUGAGGAGCGAAAGCGUGGGGAGCGAACAGG
rnacentral:rRNA from 1 species